rnacentral:lncRNA from 1 species
CAUACUGAAGAACAAAAAGUAUUCGUUAGCAAUAAGGCAUUCUUUUUGAAAAAGAAGUUCCUUGGGGAAGGAUCUAAUGCUACUAAGGUUGAACUUGAUGAAGGUUGAACUUGAUGAAGUUUGACAGGUAGAAGAAUUGACACAAAUAAGUAAAAAUACAGAAUUAGAUUUGAUUAGAUCAAAUCUUGAGUCCAUUGUAGAGGC